rnacentral:rRNA from 1 species
GACGAACGCUGGCGGCGUGCUUAACACAUGCAAGUCGAACGAUGAAGCCAGAGCUUGCUCUGGUGGAUUAGUGGCGAACGGGUGAGUAACACGUGAGUAACCUGCCCCGAACUCUGGGAUAACUGCUGGAAACGGUAGCUAAUACCGGAUAUGACCAAUGAAGGCAUCUUCUGUUGGUGGAAAGAAUUUCGGUUCGGGAUGGACUCGCGGCCUAUCAGCUUGUUGGUGAGGUAACGGCUCACCAAGGCGACGACGGGUAGCCGGCCUGAGAGGGGAAUCGGCCACACUGGGACUGAGACACGGCCCAGACUCCUACGGGAGGCAGCAGUGGGGAAUAUUGCACAAUGGGCGCAAGCCUGAUGCAGCAACGCCGCGUGAGGGAUGACGGCCUUCGGGUUGUAAACCUCUUUUAGUAGGGAAGAAGCGAAAGUGACGGUACCUGCAGAAAAAGCACCGGCUAACUACGUGCCAGCAGCCGCCGUAA